UCCUGGUUAGCUUAGUCGGUAGAGCGCUCCACCUAAACUUGGAGAGGUCCCUGGUUCGAUACCAGGACCAGGCG